GACGAACGCUGGCGGCGUGCUUAACACAUGCAAGUCGAACGGAAAGGCCCUGCUUUUGUGGGGUGCUCGAGUGGCGAACGGGUGAGUAACACGUGAGUAACCUGCCCUUGACUUUGGGAUAACUUCUGGAAACUGGGGAUAAUACCGGAUAGGAGCUCCUGCUGCAUGGUGGGGGUUGGAAAGUUUCGGCGUUUGGGGAUGGACUCGCGGCUUAUCAGCUUGUUGGUGGGGUAGUGGUUUACAAAGGCUUUGACGGGUAGCCGGCCUGAGAGGGUGACCGGCCCCAUAGGGACUGCGACGCGGCGCAUACGCAUACGGAGGGCAGCAGCGAAGAGUUUUGCACAAGGAGCCAACGGCUUAUGGAGCACCGCCGCUGGCGAUAGAACGGCAUUCGGGUGGUAAACAGCUUUAGCCGGUGACGUAGCGUGAUUGACAGGAAUGAAGAAAGAAGCACCGGCGAACUACUU
rnacentral:rRNA from 1 species